UUAAGCGACUAAGCGUACACGGUGGAUGCCCUGGCAGUCAGAGGCGAUGAAGGACGUGCUAAUCUGCGAUAAGCGUCGGUAAGGUGAUAUGAACCGUUAUAACCGGCGAUUUCCGAAUGGGGAAACCCAGUGUGUUUCGACACACUAUCAUUAACUGAAUCCAUAGGUUAAUGAGGCGAACCGGGGGAACUGAAACAUCUAAGUACCCCGAGGAAAAGAAAUCAACCGAGAUUCCCCCAGUAGCGGCGAGCGAACGGGGAGCAGCCCAGAGCCUGAAUCAGUGUGUGUGUUAGUGGAAGCGUCUGGAAAGGCGCGCGAUACAGGGUGACAGCCCCGUACACAAAAAUGCACAUGCUGUGAGCUCGAUGAGUAGGGCGGGACACGUGGUAUCCUGUCUGAAUAUGGGGGGACCAUCCUCCAAGGCUAAAUACUCCUGACUGACCGAUAGUGAACCAGUACCGUGAGGGAAAGGCGAAAAGAACCCCGGCGAGGGGAGUGAAAAAGAACCUGAAACCGUGUACGUACAAGCAGUGGGAGCACGCUUAGGCGUGUGACUGCGUACCUUUUGUAUAAUGGGUCAGCGACUUAUAUUCUGUAGCAAGGUUAACCGAAUAGGGGAGCCGAAGGGAAACCGAGUCUUAACUGGGCGUUAAGUUGCAGGGUAUAGACCCGAAACCCGGUGAUCUAGCCAUGGGCAGGUUGAAGGUUGGGUAACACUAACUGGAGGACCGAACCGACUAAUGUUGAAAAAUUAGCGGAUGACUUGUGGCUGGGGGUGAAAGGCCAAUCAAACCGGGAGAUAGCUGGUUCUCCCCGAAAGCUAUUUAGGUAGCGCCUCGUGAAUUCAUCUCCGGGGGUAGAGCACUGUUUCGGCAAGGGGGUCAUCCCGACUUACCAACCCGAUGCAAACUGCGAAUACCGGAGAAUGUUAUCACGGGAGACACACGGCGGGUGCUAACGUCCGUCGUGAAGAGGGAAACAACCCAGACCGCCAGCUAAGGUCCCAAAGUCAUGGUUAAGUGGGAAACGAUGUGGGAAGGCCCAGACAGCCAGGAUGUUGGCUUAGAAGCAGCCAUCAUUUAAAGAAAGCGUAAUAGCUCACUGGUCGAGUCGGCCUGCGCGGAAGAUGUAACGGGGCUAAACCAUGCACCGAAGCUGCGGCAGCGACGCUGAUGCGUUGUUGGGUAGGGGAGCGUUCUGUAAGCCUGCGAAGGUGUGCUGUGAGGCAUGCUGGAGGUAUCAGAAGUGCGAAUGCUGACAUAAGUAACGAUAAAGCGGGUGAAAAGCCCGCUCGCCGGAAGACCAAGGGUUCCUGUCCAACGUUAAUCGGGGCAGGGUGAGUCGACCCCUAAGGCGAGGCCGAAAGGCGUAGUCGAUGGGAAACAGGUUAAUAUUCCUGUACUUGGUGUUACUGCGAAGGGGGGACGGAGAAGGCUAUGUUGGCCGGGCGACGGUUGUCCCGGUUUAAGCGUGUAGGCUGGUUUUCCAGGCAAAUCCGGAAAAUCAAGGCUGAGGCGUGAUGACGAGGCACUACGGUGCUGAAGCAACAAAUGCCCUGCUUCCAGGAAAAGCCUCUAAGCAUCAGGUAACAUCAAAUCGUACCCCAAACCGACACAGGUGGUCAGGUAGAGAAUACCAAGGCGCUUGAGAGAACUCGGGUGAAGGAACUAGGCAAAAUGGUGCCGUAACUUCGGGAGAAGGCACGCUGAUAUGUAGGUGAAGCGACUUGCUCGUGGAGCUGAAAUCAGUCGAAGAUACCAGCUGGCUGCAACUGUUUAUUAAAAACACAGCACUGUGCAAACACGAAAGUGGACGUAUACGGUGUGACGCCUGCCCGGUGCCGGAAGGUUAAUUGAUGGGGUCAGCGCAAGCGAAGCUCUUGAUCGAAGCCCCGGUAAACGGCGGCCGUAACUAUAACGGUCCUAAGGUAGCGAAAUUCCUUGUCGGGUAAGUUCCGACCUGCACGAAUGGCGUAAUGAUGGCCAGGCUGUCUCCACCCGAGACUCAGUGAAAUUGAACUCGCUGUGAAGAUGCAGUGUACCCGCGGCAAGACGGAAAGACCCCGUGAACCUUUACUAUAGCUUGACACUGAACAUUGAGCCUUGAUGUGUAGGAUAGGUGGGAGGCUUUGAAGUGUGGACGCCAGUCUGCAUGGAGCCGACCUUGAAAUACCACCCUUUAAUGUUUGAUGUUCUAACGUUGACCCGUAAUCCGGGUUGCGGACAGUGUCUGGUGGGUAGUUUGACUGGGGCGGUCUCCUCCUAAAGAGUAACGGAGGAGCACGAAGGUUGGCUAAUCCUGGUCGGACAUCAGGAGGUUAGUGCAAUGGCAUAAGCCAGCUUGACUGCGAGCGUGACGGCGCGAGCAGGUGCGAAAGCAGGUCAUAGUGAUCCGGUGGUUCUGAAUGGAAGGGCCAUCGCUCAACGGAUAAAAGGUACUCCGGGGAUAACAGGCUGAUACCGCCCAAGAGUUCAUAUCGACGGCGGUGUUUGGCACCUCGAUGUCGGCUCAUCACAUCCUGGGGCUGAAGUAGGUCCCAAGGGUAUGGCUGUUCGCCAUUUAAAGUGGUACGCGAGCUGGGUUUAGAACGUCGUGAGACAGUUCGGUCCCUAUCUGCCGUGGGCGCUGGAGAACUGAGGGGGGCUGCUCCUAGUACGAGAGGACCGGAGUGGACGCAUCACUGGUGUUCGGGUUGUCAUGCCAAUGGCACUGCCCGGUAGCUAAAUGCGGAAGAGAUAAGUGCUGAAAGCAUCUAAGCACGAAACUUGCCCCGAGAUGAGUUCUCCCUGACCCUUUAAGGGUCCUGAAGGAACGUUGAAGACGACGACGUUGAUAGGCCGGGUGUGUAAGCGCAGCGAUGCGUUGAGCUAACCGGUACUAAUGAACCGUGAGGCUUAACCUU
rnacentral:rRNA from 1 species